CCUACGGGAGGCAGCAGUGAGGAAUAUUUGUCAAUGGACGAGAGUCUGAACCAGCCAAGUAGCGUGAAGGAUGACUGCCCUAUGGGUUGUAAACUUCUUUUAUAAAGGAAUAAAACGAGGCACGUGUGCCUUUUUUCAUGUACUUUAUGAAUAAGGAUCGGCUAACUCCGUGCCAGCAGCCGCGGUAAUACGGAGGAUCCGAGCGUUAUCCGGAUUUAUUGGGUUUAAAGGGAGCGUAGAUGGGUUGUUAAGUCAGUUGUGAAAGUUUGCGGCUCAACCGUAAAAUUGCAAUUGAUACUGGCAGUCUUGAGUACAGUUGAGGUAGGCGGAAUUCGUGGUGUAGCGGUGAAAUGCUUAGAUAUCACGAAGAACCCCGAUUGCGAAGGCAGCUUACUAAACUGUGACUGACAUUGAUGCUCGAAAGUGUGGGUAUCAAACAGGAUUAGAUACCCGGGUAGUC
rnacentral:rRNA from 1 species